AAACUGCGAAUGGCUCAUUAAAUCAGUUAUCGUUUAUUUGAUAAUACCUUACUACUUGGAUAACCGUGGUAAUUCUAGAGCUAAUACAUGCUGAAAAUCCCGACUUCGGAAGGGAUGUGUUUAUUAGAUAAAAAACCAAUGCCCUUCGGGGCUUUUUGGUGAUUCAUGAUAACUUUACGGAUCGCAUAGCCUUGCGCUGGCGACGGUUCAUUCAAAUUUCUGCCCUAUCAACUUUCGAUGGUAAGGUAUUGGCUUACCAUGGUUUCAACGGGUAACGGGGAAUUAGGGUUCGAUUCCGGAGAGGGAGCCUGAGAAACGGCUACCACAUCCAAGGAAGGCAGCAGGCGCGCAAAUUACCCAAUCCCGACACGGGGAGGUAGUGACAAUAAAUACUGAUACAGGGCUCUUUUGGGUCUUGUAAUUGGAAUGAGUACAAUUUAAACCUCUUAACGAGGAACAAUUGGAGGGCAAGUCUGGUGCCAGCAGCCGCGGUAAUUCCAGCUCCAAUAGCGUAUAUUAAAGUUGUUGCAGUUAAAAAGCUCGUAGUUGAAACUUGGGCCUGGCUGGCGGGUCCGCCUCACCGCGUGCACUCGUCCGGCCGGGCCUUCCUUCUGAAGAACCUCAUGCCCUUCACUGGGCGUGCUGGGGAAUCAGGACUUUUACUUUGAAAAAAUUAGAGUGUUCAAAGCAGGCCUUUGCUCGAAUACGUUAGCAUGGAAUAAUAAAAUAGGGCGUGCGUUUCUAUUUUGUUGGUUUCUAGAGACGCCGCAAUGAUUAACAGGAACAGUCGGGGGCAUCAGUAUUCAGUUGUCAGAGGUGAAAUUCUUGGAUUUACUGAAGACUAACUACUGCGAAAGCAUUUGCCAAGGAUGUUUUCAUUAAUCAGUGAACGAAAGUUAGGGGAUCGAAGACGAUCAGAUACCGUCGUAGUCUUAACCGUAAACUAUGCCGACUAGGGAUCGGGCGAUGUUCUUUUUCUGACUCGCUCGGCACCUUACGAGAA
rnacentral:rRNA from 1 species